GCGUGAAGUCGGAAUCGCUAGUAAUCGCGGAUCAGCAUGCCGCGGUGAAUACGUUCCCGGGCCUUGUACACACCGCCCGUCACACCAUGAGAGUCGGGAACACCCGAAGUCCGUAGCCUAACCGCAAGGAGGGCGCGGCCGAAGGUGGGUUCGAUAAUUGGGGUGAAGUCGUAACAAGGUACC
rnacentral:rRNA from 1 species